rnacentral:rRNA from 1 species
GUCCAGACUCCUACGGGAGGCAGCAGCGGGGGAUAUUGCACAAUGGGGGGAACCCUGAUGCAGCGACGCCGCGUGAGUGAAGAAGUAUCUCGGUAUGUAAACCUCUUUCAGCAGGGAAGACAAAAGGACGGUACCUGCAGAAGAAGCCACGGCUAACUACGUGCCAGCAGCCGCGGUAAUACGUAGGUGGCAAGCGUUAUCCGGAAUUACUGGGUGUAAAGGGUGUGUAGGCGGGGCUGCAAGUCAGAUGUGAAAAUUAUGGGCUCAACCCAUAACCUGCGUCUGAAACUGUAGCUCUUGAGAGUGGGAGAGGUAAACGGAAUUCCCGGUGUAGCGGUGGAAUGCGUAGAUAUCGGGAGGAACACCAGUGGCGAAGGCGGUUUACUGGACCACAACUGACGCUGAGACACGAAAGCGUGGGGAGCAAACAGGAUUAGAUACCCCAGUAC